UACGUAGGGGGGCGAGCGUUGUCCGGAAUUAUUGGGCGUAAAGAGCGUGUAGGCGGUUCGGUAAGUCUGCCGUGAAAACCUGGGGCUCAACCCCGGGCGUGCGGUGGAUACUGCCGGGCUAGAGGGUGGUAGAGGCGAGUGGAACUCCUGGUGUAGCGGUGGAAUGCGCAGAUAUCAGGAAGAACACCGACGGCGAAGGCAGCUCGCUGGGACGGUACUGACGCUGAGACGCGAAAGCGUGGGGAGCAAACAGG
rnacentral:rRNA from 1 species